rfam:Candidatus Woesebacteria bacterium RBG_13_46_13 RBG_13_scaffold_13, whole genome shotgun sequence.
AAUUUAUAAUAUCUCUGUCCCAAGACAGCACGUGGUGCGCCAAGUCGAACCAUAAUUCGUGCCGAGGCAAAAGCGUAUAUAAGUAUCUUGUAUAUAGGCGCCUCGAAGGCGCUUUUUUAAUGCAAAC